UACGAAGGGGGCUAGCGUUGUUCGGAAUCACUGGGCGUAAAGCGCACGUAGGCGGAUUGUUAAGUCGGGGGUGAAAUCCUGAGGCUCAACCUCAGAACUGCCUCCGAUACUGGCAAUCUCGAGUUCGGAAGAGGUUGGUGGAACAGCUAGUGUAGAGGUGAAAUUCGUAGAUAUUAGCUAGAACACCAGUGGCGAAGGCGGCCAACUGGUCCGACACUGACGCUGAGGUGCGAAAGCAUGGGGAGCGAACAGG
rnacentral:rRNA from 1 species